GACGAACGCUGGCGGCGUGCUUAACACAUGCAAGUCGAACGGAAAGGCCCUGCUUUUGUGGGGUGCUCGAGUGGCGAACGGGUGAGUAACACGUGAGUAACCUGCCCUUGACUUUGGGAUAACUUCAGGAAACUGGGGCUAAUACCGGAUAGGAGCUCCUGCUGCAUGGUGGGGGUUGGAAAGUUUCGGCGGUUGGGGAUGGACUCGCGGCUUAUCAGCUUGUUGGUGGGGUAGUGGCUUACCAAGGCUUUGACGGGUAGCCGGCCUGAGAGGGUGACCGGGCACAAUGGGACUGAGAUACGGACCAGACUCCUACGGGAGGCAGCAGUGGGGAAUAUUGCACAAUGGGCGGAAGCCUGAUGCAGCAACGCCGCGUGCGGGAUGACGGCCUUCGGGUUGUAAACCGCUUUCGCAUGUGACGAAGCGUGAGUGACGGUAAUGGGUAAAGAAGCACCGGCUAACUACGUG
rnacentral:rRNA from 1 species